rnacentral:lncRNA from 1 species
GUUGUGUUAAAUAUGCUCAUUAUUUAUUAUUUAAUGCUCUACAUUAUUUAUGUCACAUUGAUCAUGAGAUUGUGGGAGCUAUACAAUCUAGUUGUUAUACUUGUGGAGUUCGACAUGGACUUACUCUUGUUAUUUCCCCCAAACCUCAGGAGAAGUUUAGGCUUGUGAUCAACCAGUCAGUUGGAUCCUAUAGAGAGAAGUUAAUACCCGAAGUUUGGAGUUGUCUAUCCGCUGUUUGCUAUCAAAGGUUAUCUCUUUUAUACUAAGUACGUUAUAUAUUUAUGCAUUGUCUUUUGAUAUUACCCCUCAUUUCUAGCUAUAUGUGAGAUUUGGCUUCUAAAGCUCAUAUAUGGUGCAUAUCUGGUUUUGUCUUUAAAAUCAGGUAUUACACCA